rnacentral:snRNA from 13 species
UCACUUACCUAGAUGGGGUUAAUGAGUGAUCAUUAAGGCUCAUGUCCUAAGGCUACCCUCCAUUGCACUUCUUGGAAGGCUGCCACGAAGGUCUCCUUAAGUGGGAGAGUGAUAAGUGUAUAUUUUUCAUAUAUUGUGCUAUUAAUUUCUCCAU